UUAAGCCAUGCGAGUCUAAAGGGUCGCAAGAUCCUUGGCAGACGGCUCAGUAACACGCGGAUAAUCUGCCCUUGGGUGGAGGAUAAUCUCGAGAAAUUGAGCAUAAUACUCCAUAGACAUAAGGUGCUGGAAUGCCCCUAUGUCGAAAACCCCGGUGCCCAAGGAUGAGUCUGCGGCCUAUCAGGUUGUAGUGGGUGUAACGGACACACUAGCCUUCGACGGGUACGGGCCUUGAGAGAGGUAGCCCGGAGAUGGACUCUGAGACACGAGUCCAGGCCCUACGGGGCGCAGCAGGCGCGAAAACUUCGCAAUGUGGGAAACCACGACGAGGGGAUUCCAAGUGCUAAUGUUUUACAUUAGCUGUUCCCGUGUCUAAAAAACACGAGAAGUAAGGGCUGGGUAAGACGGGUGCCAGCCGCCGCGGUAAUACCCGCAGCCCAAGUGGUGAUCGUUAUUAUUGAGCCUAAAGCGUCCGUAGCCGGUCUAGUAAAUCCUUGGGUAAAUCGGACAGCUCAACUGUUCGAAUUCCGAGAAGACUGCUAGACUUGGGACCGGGAGAGGCCAGAGGUACUCCGAGGGUAGGGGUGAAAUCCUGUAAUCCCCGGGGGACCACCAGUGGCGAAGGCGUCUGGCUAGAACGGAUCCGACGGUAAGGGACGAAGCCCUGGGGCGCAAACGGGAUUAGAUACCCCGGUAGUCCAGGGUGUAAACGCUGCAGGCUUGGUGUCGGGGGCCCUACGAGGCACUCGGUGCUGGAGAGAAGUUGUUAAGCCUGCCGCUUGGGGAGUACGCUCGCAAGAGUGAAACUUAAAGGAAUUGGCGGGGGAGCACCGCAACGGGAGGAGCGUGCGGUUCAAUUGGAUUCAACGCCGUAAAACUCACCGGGGGCGACGAUUACAUGAAGGUCAGGCUGACGACUUUACCAGAUUUUUCGAGAGGAGGUGCAUGGCCA
rnacentral:rRNA from 1 species